AGAGAGGCUGUGAGGGUGGCUUUGUGAGGAUGGCUUUGUGUGGCUGCACAUUGCCCUUGGCCAAGCACCGCUGCCAGGAGAGGCAGCUCGGCUGCCAAACCUCCUGAACCCAAGUUACCUGAGCAAGCAGCCCUAUCCCCUUGCCUGCUUCUCACUGCCUUGCCUGCCUUGGGCCUGCCUGAUCCAGGGGGUCACAUGCCUUGUUCCCCAUCGGUGGAGACCAGGGACAAGAAGACAGCUCUGUGGGAAGAGCCAGGAGGACCAUUUGGGAAAAUACAGGUUCCAGGUGUCUCUCCAGACCUCGAGAGGUGGUGUCUCCUGGGGAGAGGCCCUGAAGAGAUCUGGGGAGAUUCGGAUCUGAUGAGAUUCAGGGAGCCCUGGCCUCUCCAUACUUGAGGAGAUGGGACACACAGGACAGGCUGCAGGCUGGUGAGGAGGUUCACUUUCUAUUUUGAAGACCCGCUUCUUCCUCAGGUACCUGAUCUUGAAAAUGACCUCCCCUUUCAGGUCUUGCUUCCCCUCAACCCAGAUACCCACUCGCCCAAGGGUCUUCCAAGUUGGCUGAGUUAGAACCUGCAUUUUUUAACCACAAGGAAAAGAAGCCCAGAGCUACCAAGAAUAAUAUUUUAUUGACUUGGAAUGAGUUUUGGAAUCUGUAUUUUUAACAAGCUGCCCAGUGAAAACCAUUUCCUCCUCAUCGUGGCGCAGAUCCAGAGGCUGCGCCCAUCUCUCCCACGUCAACAGUCCUGUGUCCUUGGCGAAGGACGGUUCUCUCAUUCAGUGCCUUUCCUCUCUUCCUGGGCCAAAUCCCUGCUUUGCGUCUCCCUGCAGCUCAUAAAAAGCUGAAUUACCUGAGGCAGGGAAAGCCCCACCCACUGUCAUUCUCAGGGAGGAGUGGAGUCUGCAGAGGCUGCAAUGCACAGCUUCCCUUUCCCCCUCCACCCGUGUUUUCCCAGAGCAGCUCUGUUCCAGGCCCGGGGCUGUCCCUGGGCCGAGGCGGAAUCCAGCCCUGACCACCUCCCAAAGCCAACAGCCCUGAGUGAGCGUGCAGAGAAGCAAGAGCUGUUCCUGAUGCAGAGCAAAGACAUCUCCCAGUCAAGGGGGAUGAACUGAUUUGGGACAAAAGGCAGUUGUGGGCUGAGGAAGGCAGGAUCUGGGGGAGCCCUGUGCUGAGUGGAGGUGGGUGGCUGUAUUUCCUUGGCUCGCAGAGGCCUCUUGUCUGGUGGGAUCAGCUCCUCCAGCCAGUUGCCACCUGGUCCAGCUUUGGGAAAUGUGGAGAAUGACUUUCACAGUGAUUUCCACUGGGCCAUGGCAUUGAAACAGCUGCAGGAGGGGACACAGCUGGUGCCACCCCCACUCCAUCCAUUAGAGCUGCUGUGAAGGAAUGCCACCCUCCCCAUGGGGAGUGAGGGGGCCCUACUUGCUGUGGUUGGUUCCAGGGACCAUGGGAAGAGGCGAACCCCUAUUUUCAAGGGCACAAGUUGGCUUUUAUUAAAAUAAAAUGUCAUCAUCACUUAUUCCAGUGGCUCCCAAACUUGACUAAACAUCAGGAUCACCCAGGAUGUUUGUUAAAAAAUAAAGAUUAUG